rnacentral:rRNA from 1 species
AUUGAACGCUGGCGGCAGGCCUAACACAUGCAAGUCGAACGAGUGGCGGACGGGUGAGUAAUGUCUGGGAAACUGCCUGAUGGAGGGGGAUAACUACUGGAAACGGUAGCUAAUACCGCAUACCAUCGGAUGUGCCCAGAUGGGAUUAGCUCGUUGGUGGGGUAAAGGCUCACCUAGGCGACGAUCCCUAGCUGGUCUAAGCGGAUGACCAGCUAAACUGGAACUGAGGAACGGCCCAGACUCCUACGGGAGGCAGCAGUGGGGAAUAUUGCACAAUGGGCGGUAGUCUGAUGCAGCAAUGCCGCGUGUAUGAAGAAGGCCUUCGGGUUGUAAAGUACUUUCAGCGGGGAGGCGUUACCCGUAUAAGAAUCACCGGCUAACUCCGUGCCAGCAGCCGCGGUAAUAC